rnacentral:rRNA from 1 species
GACGAACGCUGGCGGCGUGCUUAACACAUGCAAGUCGAGCGGUAAGGCCCUUUCGGGGGUACACGAGCGGCGAACGGGUGAGUAACACGUGGGUGACCUGCCCUCAGCUCUGGGAUAAGCCUGGGAAACCGGGUCUAAUACCGGAUAUGACUCCAUGACGCAUGUUGUGGGGUGGAAAGCCUUGUGCGGCUGAGGAUGGGCCCGCGGCCUAUCAGCUUGUUGGUGGGGUGAUGGCCUACCAAGGCGACGACGGGUAGCCGGCCUGAGAGGGCGACCGGCCACACUGGGACUGAGACACGGCCCAGACUCCUACGGGAGGCAGCAGUGGGGAAUCUUGCGCAAUGGGCGAAAGCCUGACGCAGCGACGCCGCGUGAGGGAUGACGGCCUGCGGGUUGUAAACCUCUUUCAGCUCCGACGAAGCGAGAGUGACGGUAGGAGCAGAAGAAGCACCGGCCAACUACGUGCCAGCCGCCGC